rnacentral:rRNA from 1 species
GACGAACGCUGGCGGCGUGCUUAACACAUGCAAGUCGAACGGUAAGGCCCUUCGGGUGCGGAUUAGCGGCGAACGGGUGAGGAACACGUGAGGAAUCUGCCUUCCACUCUGGGAUAACUCCGGGAAACCGGGGCUAAUACCGGAUACUUUCAACUGGCGGCAUCGCCGGUUGAAGAAAGUUUUUCGGUGGAAGAUGACCUCGCGGCCUAUCAGCUUGUUGGUGAGGUAAAGGCUCACCAAGGCGACGACGGGUAGCCGGCCUGAGAGGGCGACCGGCCACACUGGGACUGAGACACGGCCCAGACUCCUACGGGAGGCAGCAGUGGGGAAUAUUGGGCAAUGGAGGAAACUCUGACCCAGCGACGCCGCGUGAGGGAUGAAGGCCUUCGGGUUGUAAACCUCUUUCAGCAGGGAAUAAGCGAAAGUGAAGGUACCUGCAGAAGAAGCACCGGCUAACUAUGUGCCAGCCGCCGCAGUAA